GCCUGGGGAGUACGGCCGCAAGGCUAAAACUCAAAGGAAUUGACGGGGACCCGCACAAGCGGCGGAGCAUGCGGAUUAAUUCGAUGCAACGCGAAGAACCUUACCAAGGCUUGACAUACACGAGAACACUCUAGAAAUAGAGGACUCUUUGGACACUCGUGAACAGGUGGUGCAUGGUUGUCGUCAGCUCGUGUCGUGAGAUGUUGGGUUAAGUCCCGCAACGAGCGCAACCCUCGUUCUAUGUUGCCAGCACGUAAUGGUGGGAACUCAUGGGAUACUGCCGGGGUCAACUCGGAGGAAGGUGGGGAUGACGUCAAAUCAUCAUGCCCCUUAUGUCUUGGGCUUCACGCAUGCUACAAUGGCCGGUACAAAGGGCUGCAAUACCGUGAGGUGGAGCGAAUCCCAAAAAGCCGGUCCCAGUUCGGAUUGAGGUCUGCAACUCGACCUCAUGAAGUCGGAGUCGCUAGUAAUCGCAGAUCAGCAACGCUGCGGUGAAUACGUUCCCGGGUCUUGUACACACCGCCCGUCAAGUCAUGAAAGUCGGUAACACCUGAAGCCGGUGGCCUAAC
rnacentral:rRNA from 1 species